rnacentral:rRNA from 1 species
UACGGGGGGAGCAAGCGUUGUUCGGAUUUACUGGGCGUAAAGGGCGCGUAGGCGGCGCAACAAGUCACUUGUGAAAUCUCCGGGCUUAACUCGGAGCGGCCAAGUGAUACUGUCGUGCUAGAGUGCGGAAGGGGCUACUGGAAUUCUCGGUGUAGCGGUGAAAUGCGUAGAUAUCGAGAGGAACACCUGCGGCGAAGGCGGGUUGCUGGGCUGACACUGACGCUGAGGCGCGAAAGCCAGGGGAGCGAACGGG